rnacentral:rRNA from 1 species
AACGAACGCUGGCGGCAGGCUAAACACAUGCAAGUCGAGCGCCCCGCAAGGGGAGCGGCAGACGGGUGAGUAACGCGUGGGAAUCUACCCAUCUCUACGGAAUAACGCAUGGAAACGUGUGCUAAUACCGUAUACGUCCUUCGGGAGAAAGAUUUAUCGGAGAUGGAUGAGCCCGCGUUGGAUUAGCUAGUUGGUGGGGUAAAGGCCUACUAAGGCGACGAUCCAUAGCUGGUCUGAGAGGAUGAUCAGCCACACUGGGACCGAGACACGGCCCAGACUCCUACGGGAGGCAGCAGUGGGGAAUAUUGGACAAUGGGCGCAAACCUGAUCCAGCCAUGCCGCGUGAGUGAUGAAGGCCCUAGGGUUGUAAAGCUCUUUCACCGGUGAAGAUAAUGACGGUAACCGGAGAAGAAGCCCCGGCUAACUUCGUGCCAGCAGCCGCCGUAAAAC